rnacentral:rRNA from 1 species
GAUGAACGCUGGCGGCGUGCCUAAUACAUGCAAGUCGAGCGAACAGACGAGGAGCUUGCUCCUCUGACGUUAGCGGCGGACGGGUGAGUAACACGUGGAUAACCUACCUAUAAGACUGGGAUAACUUCGGGAAACCGGAGCUAAUACCGGAGAAUAUAUUUAACCGCAUGGUUCAAUAGUGAAAGACGGUUUUGCUGUCACUUAUAGAUGGAUCCGCGCCGCAUUAGCUAGUUGGUAAGGUAACGGCUUACCAAGGCAACGAUGCGUAGCCGACCUGAGAGGGUGAUCGGCCACACUGGAACUGAGACACGGUCCAGACUCCUACGGGAGGCAGCAGUAGGGAAUCUUCCGCAAUGGGCGAAAGCCUGACGGAGCAACGCCGCGUGAGUGAUGAAGGUCUUCGGAUCGUAAAACUCUGUUAUUAGGGAAGAACAAAUGUGUAAGUAACUAUGCACGUCUUGACGGUACCUAAUCAGAAAGCCACGGCUAACUACGUG